AUUCACUUCCUCUCUCCUCUGAGAAUGUCCUGAUGCAUUCCCUGGAGCUCAGGGGAGUUGUCCUUGCCCUCCCGGGCUCUGGCUCCUCUGCGUGGCCACCUCCGUCCUCCACCCCCAGCCACAGCCCGCUGGACGGGCCCGUCGCAGGGAGGAGGCCGGGGCUCCCGGGGCGGCCUCCGUGGGACCCGGCAGGUGCCGGACGCCCCUCCAGCGGCAGACGGGUGAGGACGGCGGCGUGGGGCGCUCAGGCCCCCUUCCUCCCCUCCAUCUGCGGGGAAGCUGCUGCGUGACCCUGAGAGGACAGAACCCCGGCAGGGUCCCCCCACAGUGCCGGUGCCCCUCCAGCACCCCCCGCCCGCGGUCCCCGACUCUGCUCACCGCUCGCCUGACCUACGUGCCUCUCCCUCACUGCCCUCCUGCUUUCCCGACGAUGCUCCUUCCCCCUCUCCGGGGUCAGUCAGCCGCCUCCGCCGAGUCUCCCGGGUGCCUUGUGCUUCCUUUACCCCAACUGCUACCCCCAUAUCAGAAUGGCCGCGUGCGUUGACCCCGGGGCCACCCCAGAGCAUGAACACCUUGUGCAGAGCCCCUCGCCUACGGUCAUGGUCCUUAAAUACCCCAUCAAUGAACAAAUGACGCCGUUCCCACUUCCUCACGGCCCCUGGGGAUAACGCUGCUUCCUGGCGGGGACACGAAGACCCCAAAGUAACCAGUAAGCUCAUGGGGUUUGCUCAGUUUUGGGUGCCCCAAGCCCUCUGUAUCUAGGAUUCUUCCUCUGUCCCUGCGCAGUAGCGGACCCCCGCCUGGCUGUCCCUGGGUCAUACAAACCACCCCAGUCCAGCGACCAGCAGGCCGGCAAGCAAGCCCCAGCUCCCCCAGGGACCUGCUACCCAGGUCUCUCCGCUUAGUGCCACUCCACUCUCGCUGACAAGUGCCCAUUAUGGGUCCCCUGGGUGCCUCCACCCAUUAAGUGCUGCGUUUGGCUCAGGUCAUGGUCCCGGGGCCUGGGAUCGAGCCCACGCCUGCAGCUCCUUGCUCAGCCGGGGUCUGCGUCUCCGUGUCCCGCUCCCCGGCUUGUGCUCUCUCUCCCUCUCUCUC
rnacentral:lncRNA from 1 species